rnacentral:lncRNA from 1 species
GGCAGAGAAAUAAUUUUUUUUAAUUAAAUUAAUUGGCCGAGGCCAAUAAAACCUUGUUUUAGGGUUUAAUCCCUAUUUUUUGCUUUUUGUUUUUAAACCUAAUGCAGUAAUUUCAAUUGCUAAUGUUUUGGACCAGUUGAUCAUCCGAAUAAAAUCAACCCAAUCAUGUCACAUGUUUUGCAUUGGAUCAUAGCAUAUAUCUUCAUUUGAUUGUAUUGUAUGUUUAUGUAUGUAUUUGAUUUUGUUUUCUCGGAGAGCGAUCAGUGUGAUUGUAAAGAGUGCUUGAAUACCAACUGCUACCAAGGUAAGUUCACUUUGACCAUCAUCCUAUUAUUUUAUUAUGCACUAGUUUUAUUAGUUGCAUUGUUAGAAUUAUUAUUGUACCUAUGCUCGCUAUGAUUAUCCUAGUUGUAUAGGAUACCCUUGCCAUGUUCUUACCACCAAUUGCCAUCGUAGGUAGUCAAAUGCUAUGCUAUGUCAGUUUACGAGGGUGGUAUUAUUACAUUGUGAUAUUAUUGUCAUUAUGAAGUAAAGUAUGAUUUUCCUAGUGUAUGGCAAAACAAGAAUUCAAUGAACCGUCCUGGGUGGGCUGCUUUGAGUAUUUGAGAUGUAUGCGACGUCAGGUCCAUUUCUAUGGAUCCAUUUCUAUGAGUCGUCUCGCCAUUUCUAUGGGAGCGCCUGCGUCGCAAAUGUGGGA